rnacentral:lncRNA from 1 species
CACUUACCCAGUUCCAUAGCUUUAAACAUCAUCUCUGUUCUGUACAAUAGGUAGCCAACACCAUGUAUGACAAGCUGAUACUUGAAAUGUUGCUGGUUGUAAUUAAAUGAACUGUAAGUGUAAAAUAUACACCAGAUUUCAAACUUAGUAUGAAAAGAAUAUAAAAUCUUUUUUUAAUUUUUAUACUGAUUACGUGUUAAAAUGAUAGGAUUUACAUAUAUUGGGUCAAAUAGAAUAAAAUGAAUUUCACCUGCUUUUACUUUUUAACAUGGCUGGUACAAAAUUUUAAAUUAUGUAUAUGGCUUACAUUAUAUUUCUGUUUAUCGGUGCUGAUUUACAUGCUGAUGCCUCCAAAAUAAUCUGCAUUUCAGACUCCUAUUCCAACUGCCUAUAUGACAUCUCUACGUGGAUAACUAAUAGGCAUCUCAAAUCUUACAUAUCCAAAACAGAAUCCUUGAGUUCUCUCACACAUGUCAUACUUGUUCCUUCCUGAUUGCUCCCCAGCAAAGUAAAUAGCACAUCUCUUUGCCAGUUGUUAGCCACAAACCCAGGAGUCAUCCUGAUGGCUUCCUUACCUCAUCACCCAUAACUGCUCCGUCAUUGUAGUUGUCUUGUCAGCUUUCUUCCAAAACAUAUCCUGAAUCUAUUCAUGACCUCCACUACCACUAUAUUUAAAAGACAAGUAUCAUCCACACAACUGCAACUGACCUUUACAUUUUUUUUGCUGUUUUUUAAUGAGAAAUACAUACACCUAGUAUGACAUUCAAACAGGACCAAAGAGAACACAGCUCAAGGCAAGUCCUCCCCCUCCCAGUUCUCUUGGGAAGUAAUCACCAUCACUAGCUUCCUUUGAAUCUUUCAAGAGAUAUCCCACACAGUUUUUUUUUCUUCCAACCUGACAAUAUAGUGGAGAUAUUGUCUUCAUUUUCUGUUACAGAUGCAAAGAAUUCUGUUGUAUGGAUGUGUUAAAUUUAGCAAGUCCCCUAUUGAUAGACAUUUAAGUUGUUUCCAAACUGCUAUAUGUAGUCCUGCAGUGAAUUGCCUAGACAACAGCCAUUUCACAUUUACCUGUAGGAUAAAUUCCUAAAAGUAGAAUUGCUAAGUCAAACAGGUAUACUUUUAAAAUUCUUUUGCAGUAGUGUCACAUUGUUCUCAUUGAAAGUCAUAUCAUUAUACACUCCUAGCAGCAAUGCUGAAAAGAGCCUGUUUCCCACGCUAUUGCUAAUCAAGCUUGUCAGAUUUUUAGUCUUUACAAAUCUAAUAACUGAAAAAUGGCUAUCAUGGUGUAGUCUCAAUUUGCAUUUCUGCUAGAAUGCAGGUUGAACCUCUUAUUAAUAGCCACUUACAUAGGAAUUCUCUUCAUAUCCUUUGCUUAUUUUUUCGGAUAAAUUGUUUGCUUUCUCUUACUGAUGAAAUUGGCUCUUUGUCAGUGCUAUGAGAUAUUUCUUUUGUCUAUGUUUAUGGUAUAUCUUUCCAUAUAGGUUUUUUUUCUUUUUAGUAUAAAUGGGUUUUUUUUCCUAUAACUUCAGGGGUUUGCUUUCCACACAGGCUUUUCAACAGCCUUAACUGUGUUCCUACUUCCACUGUUGCAUUUACAAAAUGAUCUUUUUAGUUUGGGGGUUUGGUAUGUCAAAGGAUAAUGAGACAACCAUCCAAUGUAUAAACUGAAAAAGACAAAAUUGAAUUUAUUGUGUACUCUUGUGGGGGAGAGCUGUGCAGUAAGCCCAGUCUCACCAAGCAGAGUGGUCUGUGGAUCUUAUUUAGGGAUUAUGGGAAGUAUGGGGUUCAAGGACAGGUGCUUUUAGGAUGCAAGAGGUUUGAACAUCAUCUGUCUAAUUUCAUUAGCUAAUACCUCUAGUUCAUUGUUAGAUAGCAGUGGGAAUUCUUACCUUUGACUUGGGAUAAAUACUAAAUGAACAAAAAAAAGAGAAGGGAAGAAGGGAAAGCUCUUCCUGACAGUGGAAUAAUAAGCGUAGAAGAAACGAUGGAAGUAGUACAUCAUAAUUUAGGAACUAUCCUAGUAUUGAUUCAGGCAAGAAUCAUCGAUGUUUGCUAAAAUUAGUGGAUGAAAUUUUGAAGAGUGAUAAAAUACAUACAUAAUCUCAAAGUAUCUCUUCACAAGACAUUUACUAAUUAUAAAGAGAAAAAAACAAUCCAAGUGUUCCCUGGUGGCUCAGUGAGUUAAGGAUCCUGCAUCGUUUCUGCUGUGGUGUGAGUUUGAUCUCCCUCUCAGGAACUUCAUGCACCGUGGGCACGGCCCAAAAAAAUGCAAAAACCCAGCAUGUGCCUCCUUAACCAAAAAGUUAAUAUUUCCAGUACCGAGGUAAACUGACAUCAUGUGCCUUUCGAUUUUAUGCACUGCAAUGGACACGGUCCUCUGCUGUGGACCUACCAAAAGUUUGCUUUGGACCUACGCCUAGAUCUAAUCAUGAGGAAAUAUCAGACAAAUCCACAUCAAGUUAUAUUGUGCAAAAUAACUGGCCUGUACUCAAAAAAGUCAAUGUCAUAGAAGACUAAGGAACUGUUCCUGAGUAAAGCAGACUAAAGGGACAUAACCACUGAAUGCAAUACGUGAUCCAGAACUUCUUUAGGUGUAAGAAACAUUAUUGGGUCAGUUGAUUAAAUCUGAAUAACGUCCAUGAUCAGAUAAUUUAAACUUAAUGUCAAUUUCUUGAUUUUGACCAUCACACUGUGGUUAUGAAAGAGAAAAUACUUCAUUUCAGAAAACACACACUGAGAUGUUUGGUACCAACUUACCUGCCACUUAGUUUCAAAUCAUUCCCAAAAAUGUGUAUGUGUGUGUGGACACACACAUAUAUCUGUGAAUAUAUGAAUGCAGAAGGAGAGAAAGAAGUCAAAUGUAAAAUGUUAACAUUUGGGGGAUCUGGGUACAAAAUAUAUGGGAAUACUUUGUUCUGGUCUUACAGCUUUUCUGUAGGUCUGAAAUUAUGUCCACCACACUCUGACCUGGGGAGAGGACCCAGCUUUGAAAUAAGGCUGAAGUGGAUGGCAACUCUCUCCUAAAUCCAGGAGAGAGUUGCACCAGUGCCUGAUGUAACAAGGAAAGUGUACUUCCUUGGAAAAAUCCAUUUCUGCUUACACAACAAACAUGUUCAUGCUCUCUGCAUUGAUCUAUUAUGAGUCAAGCACAUUGCCCUUAUUUUAUAAUUACUGAGUGAUGGGAAAAUGGAGAUGACCAUAUAGGUAUAGACUUUUAUCAUCUGGCCAGGAACAAGGCUAUUGGAUUGACCAACCGGUUUCAUUGGUGUGGGGGGUAGCUGCAGCCUCUAGGGCAAAGUUAGCCCACAUACAGAAAAGAGGAUAGGGUUCACUCAAAUCUCUAAGUUCUAGAUUCAGCUUUGACCUGCCUUUACUUCCCACCAUGCCUCCUGAGGGCUGUGUGGGUCAAAACAUUCCCUUACGCUUGUCCCAUUCUGAAGCCAAGCUGGAAACCACAUAGUCCUCUUAAGUGCCUUCUUUCCCUCCUAGGUCCACCCCAGCCCCGUUUCCCCACCAAGCAGUGUAUUUCUAACGUGGGACAAGAGAGAGGGAAUGUUGGGUUCUUGGGAGCCCAGAAGCAGUGAUAAGUGAGCUUGAUCUCAAAGAAUGGAGAAGAUUGAUGGGGGAGGGGGAAGGAGGGGGAGGAGAUUGAAGGUGUUUCAGGCAAAAGCAACAUGACAAGUAUAAAUAUAAUAAAAUUCAUUGAGUUUAAAAAAUAUACAAAGGCUUAGAACAAGAUUAAAAAUCACAUCAAUUGCCAAACCAGCUGUAUCCAAUUCUAAAUAAAGAUGUGCCAAAGAAAGCUUUGGAAGUCUGAUAAAAUAACUAGAUUGAGUUAAAUCAUGGGACUAGAAGUCUGGUUUUUCCGUUUAUCAACUCAUGAAAAAUAUAGUCUCUGGUCAAGUUUAGAUAAUCACAGGAAUGAAAAAUUUGUAGAUUCUUAUUUGAAUGAGGAACCAAUUUUAAGAGAAAAAAAUAUGUGCUUUAGUAGUGAAAGAUUGCCUUUAUGUUUUAGAGUUUAAUUGGCAAAACUAGUGGCCCAGAUCAUGGAAAGGCAUCCACUAGGAGGUCUGGGGAGCCUCGGGUAAUUCAAGUACUUAUUGUUUCUUAACUGCCUUCUCUUACUCUUUCUCCUCUUUUGGCAUUACCUUCCAUGACCUGAGAUGCUGUGUCUUUCACACAUGUUGCCUGGUGCCUUGCCUUCGACUGUCCCCUGUAUGGAGAAAUCUCUUCCUUCACCUCUAGGCUCUGGGACUCAGGUAACGUUCCUGUUCAUUCAUUAACAUUUCUCUCAGCAAUACAUUUGCAAGGAGGUCUACUCUGAAUAUCUACUUCCUUUGUCCACAACCUAAGUUUCACUCAUUUAUGAGGAACAGUAGCAUGAUAUAAAGCUGAAAUGAUGUCUUCAUAAAUCAUAAUUUUAAAAGUUGAUUGAAAUAGAAGUGGGUUUUUUUCAGUAAGAAAAGAUGUUUACCAUAUGAUUUGAGCUCAUUGCAGGUUUCUGCACCUUAAUUUUCCUAUAAUAAAAAUCAUAUGUGUGACCUGCAUACUUUAUUGGAAUGCCAAAGUUAUAGCGGGAUUUUUAAGCAUGUCUAUGUCCUCAUAUAGGAAAAAAUAUGAAGAGUAAAUACUAGUCUUAAUGUCUUUGGGGUACAAAGUCUCGAAUCUAACAUCGUUAAAGCCAAGGAGUAGUCUUUAUCGAUCAGACCCUCUGCAGCCAAACUUUUUUUAAAGGUAUGUUUGUAUGCUCAAUAAAGAAUUUUUUUAUUAUAUAGCAAAAUACAUAAGAACCAGUUAGAUUUAUUUUAUACACUUCCAGUGUAAUAAUUCUAUUCUCUUAUUUGAUCAUGGCACACUUGAGUCCUGAAGGAGCAGAAUAAAUAAUUCACUGGGGUUCCAUAAAAAUUAGUGAACAGAUUAAACCACUAGUUAAAAGAAAGAGAUUGUGAAAGAUGUUAUAUUAUUUAUAUGUGAUCAUUCCACCAAAUGAAAAAAUUCAUUAAAAAUGCAAAAAUCAGAGUUCCAAAAGUUGUGGCUCAGCAGAGAUGAAUUUGACUGAUAUCCAUGAGGUCAUAGGUUUGAUCCCUGGCCUCACUAGGUGGGUUAAGCAUCUGGUGUUGCCGUGAGCUAUGGUGUAGGUCGCAGACACGGCUCAGAUCAUGCAUUGCUGUGGCUGUGGCUGUGGCGUAGGCUGGCAGCUACAGCUCCAAUUUGACCCCUUGCCUAGGAACC